rnacentral:rRNA from 1 species
UACGUAGGGGGCAAGCGUUGUCCGGAUUUACUGGGCGUAAAGAGCGCGUAGGCGGAAAUUUUAAGCGUGGCCUGAAAGCCCCCCGGCUCAACCGGGGAGUGCGGCUGCGAACUGGGUUUCUUGAGGGUUGCAGAGGAGACUGGAAUUCCCGGUGUAGCGGUGAAAUGUGUAGAGAUCGGGAGGAACACCGGUGGCGAAGGCGGGUCUCUGGGCAAUUCCUGACGCUGAGGCGCGAAAGCGUGGGGAGCAAACGGG